GGCUGGAUAGCUCAGUUGGUAGAGCACCUGACUAUAGAUUCCGUGGGCCUGGGUUUGAAUCCCAGUCUGGUCU